GACGAACGCUGGCGGCGUGCCUAAUACAUGCAAGUAGAACGCUGAAGGAGGAGCUUGCUUCUCUGGAUGAGUUGCGAACGGGUGAGUAACGCGUAGGUAACCUGCCUGGUAGCGGGGGAUAACUCUUGGAAACGAUAGCUAAUACCGCAUAAGAGUAGAUGUUGCAUGACAUUUGCUUAAAAGGUGCAAUUGCAUCACUACCAGAUGGACCUGCGUUGUAUUAGCUAGUUGGUGGGGUAACGGCUCACCAAGGCGACGAUACAUAGCCGACCUGAGAGGGGGAUCGGCCACACUGGGACUGGGACACGGCCCAGACUCCUACGGGAGGCAGCAGGAGGGGAUCUUCGGCAAUGGGCGGAAGUCUGACCGAGCAACGCCGCGUGAGGGAAGGAGGUUUUCGGAUCGUAAAGCUCUGUUGUAAGAGAAGAACGAGUGGGAGAGUGGAAAGUUCACACUGUGACGGUAUCUUACCAGAAAGGGACGGCUAACUACGUG
rnacentral:rRNA from 1 species